rnacentral:rRNA from 1 species
UACGAAGGGGGCUAGCGUUGUUCGGAAUUACUGGGCGUAAAGCGCACGUAGGCGGGUUGUUAAGUCAGGGGUGAAAUCCUGGAGCUCAACUCCAGAACUGCCUUUGAUACUGGCAACCUAGAGACUGGAAGAGGUUAGUGGAAUUCCCAGUGUAGAGGUGAAAUUCGUAGAUAUUGGGAAAGAAACACCAGUGGCGAAGGGCGGGCUAA